rnacentral:rRNA from 1 species
AAUCAACGCUGGCGGCGUGCCUCAGACAUGCAAGUCGAACGAUUAAAGCUCUCUUCGGAGAGUGUAUAGAGUGGCGCACGGGUGAGUAACACGUAAGUAAUCUACCUUCGAGUGGGGAAUACCGUCCGGAAACGGACGCUAAUACCGCAUAAUGCAGCGGCGUCGUAAGAUGACAGUUGUUAAAGAUUUUAUCGCUUGAAGAGGAGCUUGCGGCAGAUUAGCAGUUGGUAAGGUAAUGGCUUACCAAGGCUACGAUCUGUAACCGGUCUUAGAGGACGGUCGGUCACACUGACACUGAAUAACGGGUCAGACUCCUACGGGAGGCAGCAGUCGGGAAUUUUGGGCAAUGGGCGAAAGCCUGACCCAGCAACG